rnacentral:rRNA from 1 species
UACGAGGGGGGCAAGCGUUGUUCGGAAUUACUGGGCGUAAAGCGUGCGCAGGCGGUUUUGUAAGUCAGAUGUGAAAUCCCCGGGCUUAACCUGGGAACUGCGUUUGAAACUACAAGGCUAGAGUGUGGCAGAGGGGGGUGGAAUUCCACGUGUAGCAGGUGAAAUGCGUAGAGAUGUGGAGGAACACCGAUGGCGAAGGCAGCCCCCUGGGUCAAGAUUGACGCUCAUGCACGAAAGCGUGGGGAGCAAACAGG